rfam:TPA: Bos taurus chromosome 18, whole genome shotgun sequence.
UCCCUGGUGGCUCAGACGGUAAAGAAUCUGCCUGAAAUGCAGGAGACCAGGGUUUGAUCCCUGGGUAGGGAA